rnacentral:rRNA from 1 species
GACGAACGCUGGCGGCGUGCUUAACCACAUGCAAGUCGAACGAAAAGACGGAAAGAGCUUGCUUUUUUCAGAUUUGAGUGGCAAACGGGUGAGUAACACGUAAACAACCUGCCUUCAGGAUGGGGACAAUAGACGGAAACGACUGCUAAUACCGAAUAAGUUCCAAGAGCCGCAUGGCCCAUGGAAGAAAAGGUGGCCUCUACCUGUAAGCUAUCGCCUGAAGAGGGGUUUGCGUCUGAUUAGCUGGUUGGAGGGGUAACGGCCCACCAAGGCGACGAUCAGUAGCCGGUCUGAGAGGAUGAACGGCCACACUGGAACUGAGACACGGUCCAGACUCCUACGGGAGGCAGCAGUGGGGGAAUCUUCCGCAAUGGGCGAAAGCCUGACGGAGCAACGCCGCGU